rnacentral:rRNA from 1 species
UACUACAGCCAUGCUAUCCUGAACAAGCCUGAUCUCAUCUGAUCUUGGAAGCUAUGCAGGAUCAGGCCUGGUUAGUACUUGUAUGGGAGAACACAUAGGAAGACCAGGUGCUGUAGGCA